UGUGUGCAAAAAGGUGUGAAAAAAAAUUCUGGUGUAUGCAAAAAGGGGUAAGAAUAAUGCAAAAAGAAAAAAGAAACAAAAAGAAACAAAAAGAAACAAAAAGAAAUCAAAAAGAAAUCAAAAGAUGGUGUGAUCAGUGAAUAAAUACUCUCCAGUACCCCACACCUAUCCCAAAUAUUGUCCUCAAUGUUUGAAUAUGUA
rnacentral:lncRNA from 1 species